AAUAGAUACCCUGGUAGUCCAUGCCGUAAACGUUGGGAACUAGGUGUGGGUCUCAUUCCACGAGAUCCGUGCCGCAGCUAACGCAUUAAGUUCCCCGCCUGGGGAGUACGGCCGCAAGGCUAAAACUCAAAGGAAUUGACGGGGGCCCGCACAAGCGGCGGAGCAUGCGGAUUAAUUCGAUGCAACGCGAAGAACCUUACCAAGGCUUGACAUACACCGGAAUCACUCAGAGAUGGGUGCGUCUUCGGACUGGUGUACAGGUGGUGCAUGGUUGUCGUCAGCUCGUGUCGUGAGAUGUUGGGUUAAGUCCCGCAACGAGCGCAACCCUGUUCUAUGUUGCCAGCACGUGAUGGUGGGGACUCAUAGGAGACUGCCGGGGUCAACUCGGAGGAAGGUGGGGAUGACGUCAAAUCAUCAUGCCCCUUAGUGUCUUGGGCUUCACGCAUGCUACAAUGGCCGGUACAAAGGGCUGCGAAGCCGCGAGGUGGAGCGAAUUCCAAAAAACCCGGGUCUCAGUUCGGAUUGGGGU
rnacentral:rRNA from 1 species